rnacentral:rRNA from 1 species
UACAGAGGGUGCAAGCGUUAAUCGGAAUUACUGGGCGUAAAGCGCGCGUAGGUGGUUUGUUAAGUUGGAGGUGAAAGCCCAGGGCUCAACCUUGGAAUUGCCUUCAAAACUGAUAGCCUAGAGUAUGGAAGAGGUAAGUGGAACUCCGAGUGUAGAGGUGAAAUUCGUAGAUAUUCGGAAGAACACCAGUGGCGAAGGCGACUUACUGGUCCAUGACUGACGCUGAGGCUCGAAAGCGUGGGGAGCAAACAGG